rnacentral:snRNA from 1 species
AAAAUUGACAGUUAUUACCAA